AAAGAAUGAAAUUAAUAGAAUCAGCGAUCUAUGCCUUACUCAACCACCUCUUUAAGGUCUUCAGUAGUUAGGGGGCGCGUAUCCACUGUUAUCUCCUCUUAGGGAGUCUGGUACCCACUCCUCUUCUCUUAUUGGCUUGGGAUGUACACAACAGUCGAAGCAAUGUAUAAUAAGCGUCGAUCACGAUACGCCUUUGAUCACCCGGAU
rnacentral:lncRNA from 1 species